UACAGAGGGGCAAGCGUUGUUCGGAAUACUGGGCGUAAAGGGCGCGUAGGCGGCCUGUUAAGUCGAACGUGAAUCCCUGGGCUCAACCCAGGAACUGCGUCCGAUACUGGCAGGCUUGAAUCCGGGAGAGGGAUGUGGAAUUCCAGGUGUGAGCGGUGAAAGUGCGUAGAUAUCUGGAGGAACACCGGUGGCGAAGGCGGCGUUCUGGGACUGCAACUGACACUGAGGAACGAAAGCCAGGGAGCGAA
rnacentral:rRNA from 1 species